CUCGUCCCAGAUACCUGGUUCACGUUGCGCAUGCUUGAGAAUUCCCCAUGAUAUUAAUAGAGGGGGAAGAAUGAGGGGAAUAAUUUUGUGGUUAUGAUUCUGUUUACAAAUAUAUUUAUUAUUGUAAUUCAGAAAAACAAUUAUAAAUUUUAAAAAACUUUUGUUUUUAUUUAAAUAAUAUUCUUUUUCCAACAAUCAGUUAUUGAAAAAUGGUGAAGUUGUGUUAUUUAUGUGAUAGAAAAGCGUCGAGAGCUGACAAUAUUUCUUUGCAUCAAUUUCCGAAAAAUUUGGAGAUACGUUUAAAGUGGCUAAAUGCUUGUGGAUUAACUGAAAAUAAUGAUGUAAAAAGAACUUGCAUAUGUUCCAGACAUUUCAAAGCUGAUGAUAUUUGUCAAUCAAGAAUUUUUGGAGUUGUUAAAUCUUCUAUAAAACGUAAUGCAGUUCCUACACUUUAUUUAAAAAAUCCACUCAGUAUUGAUAAAACUAGUAAAUUACCACCAAACACGCAGCUAUCGGAAGUAUUUGAUGAGAAUGGAGUCAGCAAUCAAUCGUCAUGUUUUUCUGAGAAUAAUAUUGUCAACCAAUAUAAUGUACUCAAUACUUUGCAAAAAAAGUCCAAAAAAAUGUUUUAAAGUAGACAAUACUGAAUGUUAAACCUCAAAUAAUAGUAGCAUUCAUUUUGGAGCCCCUUGUAAUCAAUCUGAUUUAAAUGAAUUUAUAGAAAAUGCAAAAUCAAAUCCUAUCAGCGAAGACGAAAAUACUGUUCCACAUGAAAUUGAUUCCCCAAAUCAAUUUCGAAAGCGUAAAUUUUACGAGCCUCGUCAUGUUAGUGAAAUUUCAAUAUCAGAUUUUGCGACGCCUAAAAGGAGUAAAAGAACCCUUUCUUUAAUAAAAGAGACUGAUAAAAAAAAA